GCUUAACGCGAAGAACCUUACCACCUUUUGACAUGCCCGGCUCGCCAGAGAGAUCUGGUUUCCCUUCGGGGACUGGGACACAGGUGCUGCAUGGCUGUCGUCAGCUCGUGUCGUGAGAUGUUGGGUUAAGUCCCGCAACGAGCGCAACCCACGCCAUUAGUUGCCAUCAUUUAGUUGGGCACUCUAAUGGGACCGCCGGUGGUAAGCCGGAGGAAGGUGGGGAUGACGUCAAGUCCUCAUGGCCCUUACGGGCUGGGCUACACACGUGCUACAAUGGUGGCGACAGAGGGCACAAGCGAACGUGUAAACGUAAGCAAAUCCCAAAAAGCCAUCUCAGUUCAGAUUGCACUCUGCAACUCGGGUGCAUGAAGGUGGAAUCGCUAGUAAUCGCAGAACAGCAGGCUGCGGUGAAUACGUUCCCGGGUCUUGUACACACCG
rnacentral:rRNA from 1 species